rnacentral:rRNA from 1 species
UACGAAGGGGGCUAGCGUUGUUCGGAAUUACUGGGCGUAAAGCGCGCGCAGGCGGCUCUUCAAGUCAGGGGUGAAAGCCCAGAGCUCAACUCUGGAACUGCCUUUGAGACUGAAGAGCUUGAGUACGGGAGAGGUGAGUGGAAUUCCCAGUGUAGAGGUGAAAUUCGUAGAUAUCGGGAGGAACACCUGUGGCGAAAGCGGCUCACUGGACCAUAACUGACGCUGAGGCGCGAAAGCUAGGGGAGCAAACAGG